AUUGAACGCUGGCGGCAGGCCUAACACAUGCAAGUCGAACGGAGUGGCGGACGGGUGAGUAAUGCCUAGGAAUCUGCCUGGUAGUGGGGGAUAACGUCCGGAAACGGGCGCUAAUACCGCAUACUAUCAGAUGAACCUAGGUCGGAUUAGCUUGUUGGUGGGGUAAAGGCCUACCAAGGCGACGAUCCGUAGCUGGUCUGAGAGGAUGAUCAGCCACACUGGAACUGAGACACGGUCCAGACUCCUACGGGAGGCAGCAGUGGGGAAUAUUGGACAAUGGGCGAAAGCCUGAUCCAGCCAUGCCGCGUGUAUGAAGAAGGUCUUCGGGUUGUAAAGCACUUUCAGUCGGGAGGCGUUACCGACAGAAUAAGCACCGGCUAACUUCGUGCCAGCAGCCGCGGUAAUAC
rnacentral:rRNA from 1 species